rnacentral:misc_RNA from 1 species
GGCCUUGUUGCUAUCGCUUGGAUUUUUGCCGCCUCUCACGGAUACAGUGCCUAUUGCUAGCUUUGCGUGACUUUACUCCGCAGACUUCGGGAGGUCCCUUGUACGAAUCAUUGUGACGUGGGCGCCGUUUGUCGUGUUGCUUGUUUGGCACGCAAAUCGUAUUGUUCUGUCUGGAGUCGGGAUGACGAAGGGCAAGAAUGAAGUGUCCGGGG